rnacentral:lncRNA from 1 species
UUACAGAAUCCAAAUCUAUACAAAAACCGGGAGCAAACACAUCGUUUCCGAGACAGAAGGAUUAGAUCCAGGAGCCGCAGUGACAGCUGUGUGUGCGUCCCCGGAAAGUUCCCCCGAAGGGGACAGGGUCCACUCCCACGACCCCAGGAAGGGGCGUCCUGCCUGGAAGAGCCGAGACCUCCGGGCCGUAGCUUCCGGGACGCUAGCUUUGGGAGACCCACCAGGAGCGGCAGCCGAGUCCGCAGCGACCCGGAAGUGCAGUCUCUGCCGGAAGUGCUGCCACUGCCCUCCGCACGCCCCCUGACUCUCGGCCCUGACAGCCCCGUGGCCCCCUCCUCUCCUAGGUACGCACCUGAGUUCGCCGCGCCGGCCUCUCGGCCUAGGAAACCCGGAACCCGGCCUUGCGAGCAGGCGGGCAGCUGCGGGUGUCCAGCACUCCGAGAGGCCUCGGGUCUCAAGGUCCGGCGCCAGGCCCGCCGCGACCUGACCCAGAUAGCGGAGGCCCCGGGGGAGGAGUCCGCGGCCAGGACUGGCGCGAGUGUGCUUUUCUCACAGAAAGGUCCCUGUUAAUGAGAAAUAUACCCAGCUUCUUUGGCUUCGCUCCAGUCUUUUGGAUAAAAAUCGAUAGCCUCUCAGAUGACUGGGAUUCAAGUUUUUCUCCAGCUUCACUUUCUGGUUUGUAUAAUCAAAAUAAUUGUGGCAAAUAAACAGUGAAAAGCUGUUCACACAUCCGUCCUUUCUGUAUUUCUCUUACCUUGAACAGUGCCACUAGUUGUUUUAAACGUAGGCUUACAUAGAACUUAGUCUUGAUUACUAAAUUCCCCACCAAUGUACUGGACAACUAGAAAACACAAUACUUGUACAAUCCAUAUACUAUUUCUGAUGGAGAUUUGGAGAUUUUAUUGCUUAUGUGUUUUUUUUUUUAGUGUUAAGCAAGCUGCAUUGAAUAAGCCUAGCCAUUGUCAUUUUAUUGAAAGCAGAGACUAAUACUUAACCUCUGAGAUACAAAGGUAGUAAACAUUCCCUUCUGCAAAACCACUCUCAUUCCUAUUUUGUUACACUUUCCACUGUGGAAAUCAGUAUGGAGAUACCUCAAAGAACUAGGACUGGAAGUCCCAUUUGACCCAGCUAUUCCCCUGCUGGGGAUCUUCCCCAAAGAAUUAAAAGAAUCAUACCACAGUGAUAUAUGUACAUCCAUGUUCAUAGCAGCACAGUUUGUAAUAGCUAAAACUUGGAAGCAGCCCAGAUGCCCAUCAGCUGGAGACUGGAUAAAGAAGAUGUGUUUUUUUUAAUAAGAUAGAGUACUACUCAGCUGUAAAGAAUGAGAAGCUAGAGACAUUUAUAGCUAAAUGGAUGCACAUCGAGGUGAUCCUCUUAAGUGAAAUAAAUAAGACACACAUGUAAAUACCAAAUAGUUUCUCUAGUGUGAGAAACUGAAAGUGUAAAUAAGGACUAAAAGGUACAAUGGAUAGUGUGAAAUGGGAAGAAAAGGGGCAAAGGGGAAGGGGAAGUGGGGGGGGUAGGGGAAAGGAAAGAAGGGAAAGGAAAAAUUAUGAGAAAUGGAAAAAAUGGAAACAAAGUCUUUGUAAGUAGGGAAGGGGGGCUGAAGAGAGGGCAGGGAAUGGGGAGAAAAUAAGAACCAGGAUACAUUCAUGUACAGGUACAAGUUCCCAAUGAGAAAUGUAAAUGUAUUGUAUACCUAAAAUGUCCCAAUAAAAGAAUUUAAGAAAAAAAAAUAUCAUGCUAAUACUUGCUUCUUUUCACCAGAAUACGAUACAGAUCAGUCAUGCAAGGAAACAAUAGGUUUCUCCUUUAACAAG